rnacentral:tRNA from 1 species
AGAAAUAUAAUUUAAUGGCAAAAUAGGAAGCUUCAAACUUCUAGUUGUCAGUUCAAAUCUGAGUGUUAUUG